UGCUCAGCAGAACAUGGAAGUGAUCAUGAGGCAGGAACUUGUGCUAUUAGGAAACUUUUUUCUGUGGAUCUCAGGUGUGACUGCUGGCAGUGAUGUCGACCAGCCGGCCAUGCUGUGGAGAAACCAGGGUGACAACGCAACUAUCAGCUGCAAACACUCCAAGGGUUCGAGCUACUACCAGAUGUACUGGUACCGACAGCUGCCUGGGGAAAUGAUGAAACAAAUAGUUUACACUAUUGCAAGCUCCAAGCCUGACUUCGAGGCUGAAUUCAAACUAGAUGAAAAGUUCUCAGUCACAAAGCCUGAUGCUAUGAGUGGGACGUUCACCGUGCAUAAACUGGUGCCAGGAGAUCAAGGCCAGUAUUUCUGUGCUGUAAGUGAGCACAGUGAUAUAAAAAAGCUGAGAAGCUGA